CGGCACGUCAAAGUGGUGGGUGAUUUGUCGACUUGCUCAUAUCACAGCCAGCUUUGAUGUGCUGUA
rfam:Necator americanus N_americanus-1.0_Cont14.36, whole genome shotgun sequence.